GCGAGGGUGGCGGAAUUGGUAGACGCAACAGAUUUAGGUUCUGUCGGUCGCAAGGCCGUGGGGGUUCGAGUCCCCCCCUUCGCAC
rnacentral:tRNA from 1 species